rnacentral:lncRNA from 1 species
CCCACGCGGACAGAGGUCAGCGUGAGCCCCUUGCCUCACACCGGCCCCUCCCACGCUGAGAGAGGUCAGUGUGAGCCCUUGCCUCACCCCGGCCCCUCCCACGUGGACAGAGGUCAGCGUGAGCCCCUUGUCUCACACCGGCCCCUCCCACGCUGAGAGAGGUCAGUGUGAGCCCUUGCCUCACACCGGCCCCUCCCACGCGGACAGAGGUCAGCGUGAGCCCCUUGCCUCACACCGGCCCCUCCCACGCGGACAGAGGUCAGCCCGAGCCCCUUGUCUCACACCGGCCCCUCCCAUGCUGAGAGAGGUCAGCGUGCCCCUUGUCUCACACCGGCCCCUCCCACGCUGAGAGAGGUCAGCCCAAGCCCCUUGCCUCACACCGGCCCCUCCCACGCGGACAGAGGUCAGCCCGAGCUCCUUGCCUCACACCGGCCCCUCCCACGCUGAGAGAGGUCAGUGUGAGCCCUUGCCUCACACCGGCCCCUCCCACGCGGACAGAGGUCAGCGUGAGCCCCUUGCCUCACACCGGCCCCUCCCACGCUGAGAGAGGUCAGUGUGAGCCCUUGCCUCACACCGGCCCCUCCCACGCGGACAGAGGUCAGCGUGAGCCCCUUGCCUCACACCGGCCCCUCCCACGCUGAGAGAGGUCAGCCCGAGCCCCUUGCCUCACACCGGCCCCUCCCACGCUGAGAGAGGUCAGCGUGAGCCCCUUGUCUCACACCGGCCCCUCCCACGCUGAGAGAGGUCAGCCCGAGCCCCUUGCCUCACACCGGCCCCUCCCACGCUGAGAGAGGUGUGAGCCCCUUGUCUCACACCGGCCCCUCCCACGCGGACAGAGGUCAGCGUGAGCCCCUUGCCUCACACCGGCCCCUCCCACGCUGAGAGAGGUCAGUGUGAGCCCUUGCCUCACACCGGCCCCUCCCACGCGGACAGAGGUCAGCGUGAGCCCCUUGCCUCACACCGGCCCCUCCCACGCUGAGAGAGGUCGGUGUGAGCCCUUGCCUCACACCGGCCCCUCCCACGCGGACAGAGGUCAGCGUGAGCCCCUUGCCUCACCCCGGCCCCUCCCACGCUGAGAGAGGUCAGUGUGAGCCCUUGCCUCACACCGGCCCCUCCCACGCGGACAGAGGUCAGCGUGAGCCCCUUGCCUCACCCCGGCCCCUCCCACGCUGAGAGAGGUCAGUGUGAGCCCUUGCCUCACACCGGCCCCUCCCACGCGGACAGAGGUCAGCGUGAGCCCCUUGCCUCACACCGGCCCCUCCCACGCUGAGAGAGGUCAGUGUGAGCCCUUGCCUCACACCGGCCCCUCCCACGCGGACAGAGGUCAGCGUGACCCCCUGCCUCAACAGGCCACCGUGAGGGAGGAACAGGAUCGCACUCGGGCUGCUGGGAGUUGAAGAUCCGUGAGGUGCCCAGAAGAUCAUGCAGUCAUCAGUC